UAGUCCACGCCGUAAACGAUGGACACUAGUUGUUGGGCAUUAGCUCAGUGACUAAGCGAAAGUGAUAAGUGUCCCACCUGGGGAGUACGAUCGCAAGAUUGAAACUCAAAGGAAUUGACGGGGGCCCGCACAAGCGGUGGAGCAUGUGGUUUAAUUCGAUGAUACGCGAGGAACCUUACCAGGGCUUAAAUGUAGUCUGACAGCUUUAGAGAUAGAGUUUUCUUCGGACAGAUUACAAGGUGCUGCAUGGUUGUCGUCAGCUCGUGCCGUGAGGUGUCAGGUUAAGUCCUAUAACGAGCGCAACCCUUGUCGUUAGUUGCCAGCAUGUAAAGAUGGGGACUCUAACGAGACUGCCGGUGCAAACCGAGAGGAAGGUGGGGAUGACGUCAAAUCAGCAUGCCCCUUAUGCUCUGGACUACACACGUGCUACGAAUGGCCGUGACAAAGAGUUGCUACUUUGUGAAACAAGCUAAAUCUCAUAAACGCGGCCUCAGUUCGGA
rnacentral:rRNA from 1 species